UCUCGUCAACACGUACAUAUAUCAUUUGUCUUUAAAUAUAAAAGUUAUAGGUUUGUUCGAUGGUAUAUGUGUUUAAUAAAUUUCGAUAAUAUAAUCGUUUUAUUCAUUUCUUGAUGUAUUUCGAUAAAUUCAGAAAAAAUAUUUUAAGUAUAAAUUGGAAUAAAUCCAAAGAAAAAGUUCGAAGCUUCAGUUCGUUUUGGAUACUCGUUUCGUUAACGCGUAUAUAAUUUAUCGUCUUCAAAUAUAAAAGUUGUAGAACUGUUCGAUGCGAUUGUUGAAAAGUGCAACUUAAUUUUCACGACCCGAUAAAACUCGAUUGGUAGAAGAGGAAAGUUCUUUUUUACGAUGUUAUGACGUCGAUAAUUGCAUUGCAAAUGAAAGUUACUUUGGAAGAUCCAAGCUCUUUGGUGAAACGACACCUUCUUCAAGGACGAUUCCUUGAAACUUUAGAAGAAACAAACUUCAAAGCAAUUUCUUUCACUGUAUCUUCCCUCUUACGUCACGUGAUCAGUCCAAUGAAUGGCCGCAAGCGAUACGAGCAAUGCAAUUAAGGAUCCAUCGAGCCGCGGCCAAUAUUCCUCCUCGAUCAACGCAUACAUAUCGAGUUACUAUGAUUUACAAGGAUCCCUGAGCGUAUCCUUUGAUAUCAUUCGUGAAUUUUUUAUGAUCCUUUUAAAGGUUCCAUAAUCAAACAUUGGUUACUUCAUUUGAAUAAAUGAUCCAUCUACGUGAAUCUAAA